UACGUAGGGUGCAAGCGUUAAUCGGAAUUACUGGGCGUAAAGCGUGCGCAGGCGGUUUUGUAAGUCUGACGUGAAAUCCCCGGGCUCAACCUGGGAAUUGCGGUGGAGACUGCAAGGCUAGAAUCUGGCAGAGGGGGGUAGAAUUCCACGUGUAGCAGUGAAAUGCGUAGAGAUGUGGAGGAACACCGAUGGCGAAGGCAGCCCCCUGGGUCAAGAUUGACGCUCAUGCACGAAAGCGUGGGGAGCAAACAGG
rnacentral:rRNA from 1 species